rnacentral:tRNA from 1 species
GGGGGUAAGCGACUGCACCGUUCGGGAGAGCGCUUGAAUGGCAUUCAAGAGGUCAGCGGUUCGAUCCCGCUUAUCUCCACCA